rnacentral:lncRNA from 11 species
AUUUUUUUCUGGGUAUCCUCUUAUCUUAAGUUUGUUCUUAAAGGUGUGUGCUGCCGUCAAAAAAUCUUUUGGUUUACUAUUAUUACGUUUUAGUCGAAGCAAUUGGGAAUAUGGAGGACAAUGGAACAAUGGAACAAAAAUGAUACUGGACUAUUUUUCCCAUCAAUGAAGAGAGAGAAAGCAAAUAUGAAUCGAACACAAUGUGACAACAAGACAACUGCAACAUUGAGUGUAUGACCCUUGCAUCCACGGGACCAGUAUCUGCAGGUUCAUUUAUCCACGCUUGACAAACUAUGUCAUCUAUAGGCAUUUUCUACAUCCCUCUGUUAUUUGUGGGCCAGAAUAAGGUUCAGUAGGGUUUGCUAUUAUCCAUGCUUUCAGGGUUAACACUCUAUUUUGUAAAUAGCUUUGGGACCCAUAAUGAGAACAAGUAAGAUGCACAUUCAAUAAAUAAAUAAGUUUCC